rnacentral:tRNA from 1 species
UCCGAUAUGGUCUAGUGGCUAGGAUUUGCCGCUCUCACCGGCAAGGCCCGGGUUAGUACUAUCCUCAUCAUCCAUCCCAAUCACCUUUACUAAUAUCUCCAAAGGUUCGAUUCCCGGUGUCGGAA